UACGUAGGGUGCGAGCGUUAAUCGGAAUUACUGGGCGUAAAGCGUGCGCAGGCGGUUUUGUAAGACAGAGGUGAAAUCCCCGGGCUUAACCUGGGAACUGCCUUUGUGACUGCAAGGCUUGAGUGCGGCAGAGGGGGAUGGAAUUCCGCGUGUAGCAGUGAAAUGCGUAGAUAUGCGGAGGAACACCGAUGGCGAAGGCAAUCCCCUGGGCCUGCACUGACGCUGAGGCGCGAAAGCGUGGGGAGCAAACGGG
rnacentral:rRNA from 1 species